GCCUAAUACAUGCAAGUCGAACGAUGGUCCCCAGCUUGCUGGGGGGAUUAGUGGCGAACGGGUGAGUAACACGUGAGUAACCUGCCCUUGACUCUGGGAUAAGCCUGGGAAACUGGGUCUAAUACCGGAUACGACCGCUCACCGCAUGGUGUGGUGGUGGAAAGCUUUUGCGGUUUUGGAUGGACUCGCGGCCUAUCAGCUUGUUGGUGGGGUAAUGGCCUACCAAGGCGACGACGGGUAGCCGGCCUGAGAGGGUGACCGGCCACACUGGGACUGAGACACGGCCCAGACUCCUACGGGAGGCAGCAGUGGGGAAUAUUGCACAAUGGGCGAAAGCCUGAUGCAGCGACGCCGCGUGAGGGAUGACGGCCUUCGGGUUGUAAACCUCUUUCAGUAGGGAAGAAGCGAAAGUGACGGUACCUGCAGAAGAAGCGCCGGCUAACUACGUGCCAGCAGCCGCGGUAAUACGUAGGGCGCAAGCGUUAUCCGGAAUUAUUGGGCGUAAAGAGCUCGUAGGCGGUUUGUCGCGUCUGCUGUGAAAGACCGGGGCUCAACUCCGGUUCUGCAGUGGGUACGGGC
rnacentral:rRNA from 1 species